UACGAAGGGGGCGAGCGUUGUUCGGAAUUACUGGGCGUAAAGGGCGCGUAGGCGGCUUUUCAAGUGACGGGUGAAAUCCCUCGGCUUAACCGAGGAACUGCCUGUCAGACUGGAAGGCUUGAGACCGGGAGAGGUGAGUGGAAUUCCCAGUGUAGCGGUGAAAUGCGUAGAUAUUGGGAGGAACACCAGUGGCGAAGGCGGCUCACUGGACCGGAACUGACGCUGAGACGCGAAAGCGUGGGGAGCAAACAGG
rnacentral:rRNA from 1 species